rnacentral:rRNA from 1 species
AUUGAACGCUGGCGGCAUGCCUUACACAUGCAAGUCGGACGGUAACAGGUCUUCGGAUGCUGACGAGUGGCGAACGGGUGAGUAAUACAUCGGAACGUGCCUAGUAGUGGGGGAUAACUACUCGAAAGAGUGGCUAAUACCGCAUGAGAUCUACGGAUGAAAGCAGGGGAUCGCAAGACCUUGUGCUACUAGAGCGGCCGAUGGCAGAUUAGGUAGUUGGUGGGAUAAAAGCUUACCAAGCCGACGAUCUGUAGCUGGUCUGAGAGGACGAUCGGCCCCACUGGGGCUGAGACACGGCCCAGACUCCUACGGGAGGCAGCAGUGGGGAAUUUUGGACAAUGGGCGCAAGCCUGAUCCAGCAAUGCCGCGUGCAGGAUGAAGGCCUUCGGGUUGUAAACUGCUUUUGUACGGAACGAAAAGCCCUGGGUUAAUACCCUGGGGUCAUGACGGUACCGUAAGAAUAAGCACCGGCUAACUACGUGCCAGCCGCCGCAGUAA